rnacentral:rRNA from 1 species
AUUGAACGCUGGCGGCAGGCUUAACACAUGCAAGUCGGACGGUAACAGGGAGGAAGCUUGCUUUCUUUGCUGACGAGUGGCGGACGGGUGAGUAAUGCUUGGGAAUCUGUUUUAUGGAGGGGGAUAACUACGGGAAACUGUAGCUAAUACCGCGUAAUAUCGAGAGAUUAAAGUGUGGGACCGUAAGGCCACAUGCCAUAGAGUGAGCCCAAGUGGGAUUAGGUAGUUGGUGGGGUAAAGGCCUACCAAGCCGUCGAUCUCUAGCUGGUCUGAGAGGAUGACCAGCCACACUGGGACUGAGACACGGCCCAGACUCCUACGGGAGGCAGCAGUGGGGAAUAUUGCACAAUGGGCGCAAGCCUGAUGCAGCCAUGCCGCGUGAAUGAAGAAGGCCUUCGGGUUGUAAAGUUCUUUCGGUGGUGAGGAAGGUUGUAAUGUUAAUAGCAUUAUAAUUUGACGUUAGCCACAGAAGAAGCACCGGCUAACUCCGUGCCAGCAGCCGCGGUAAUACGGAGGGUGCGAGCGUUAAUCGGAAUAACUGGGCGUAAAGGGCACGCAGGCGGAUACUUAAGUGAGGUGUGAAAGCCCUGGGCUUAACCUAGGAAUUGCAUUUCAUACUGGGUAUCUAGAGUAUUUUAGGGAGGGGUAGAAUUCCACGUGUAGCGGUGAAAUGCGUAGAGAUGUGGAGGAAUACCGAAGGCGAAAGCAGCCCCUUGGGGGAAUACUGACGCUCAUGUGCGAAAGCGUGGGGAGCAAACAGG